GGCACGGCAGCAACACGGUGGAAACGCGACGGUUGCUGGUCUCGCAGCUUCGAGCGGGACUUCUCGCCUUAGGUCGGGCCAUGCAAAGUGGUGACUAAGGUACGGAGAGCGUGGGGCUGCAUGUGCUGAAGAUUCCUAGUGACUUGCGUUGUGGAAACACGACCAAGUCAGGGUAACUUUGUUUCCGGUGGAGGAUAGCUCGGGACGGCAUCCCGACAGAGCGAAGUGUCCACAGUGGAU
rnacentral:lncRNA from 1 species